rnacentral:rRNA from 1 species
AACGUAGGUUCCGAGCGUUAUCCGGAUUUACUGGGCGUAAAGCGCGUUCAGGCGGUUUGGCAAGUCGGGCAUGAAAUCUCUGGGCUCAACCCGGAGAGGUUGUCCGAUACUGCUAAACUGGAGGGCAGUAGAGGGUGGUGGAAUUCCGGGUGUAGUGGUGAAAUGCGUAGAGAUCCGGAGGAACACCAGUGGCGAAAGCGACUUUCUGGUCCUUAACUGACGCUGAGGCGCGAAAGCAUGGGGAGCGAACGGG